rnacentral:rRNA from 1 species
AUUGAACGCUGGCAGCAUGCCUUACACAUGCAAGUCGAACGGCAGCACGGGUGCUUGCACCUGGUGGCGAGUGGCGAACGGGUGAGUAAUACAUCGGCACGUACCUUAUCGUGGGGGAUAACGCAGCGAAAGCUGUGCUAAUACCGCAUACGCACUGAGGGGGGGAAAGCGGGGGAUCGCCAGACCUCGCCCUAUUCGAGCGGCCAAUGCCUGAUUAGCUUGUUGGUGGGGUAAAAGCCCACCAAGGCGACGAUCAGUAGCUGGUCUGAGAGGACGAUCAGCCACACUGGGACUGGGACACGGCCCAGACUCCUACGGGAGGCAGCAGUGGGGAAUUUUGGACAAUGGGGGCAACCCUGAUCCAGCAAUGCCGCGUGAGUGAAGAAGGCCUUCGGGUUGUAAAGCUCUUUUGUCAGGGAAGAAACACCGGCUCUAACACAGUCCGGGAAUGACGGUACCUGAAGAAUAAGCACCGGCUAACUACGUGCCAGCAGCCGCGGUAA